rnacentral:misc_RNA from 1 species
GUUGAAAUGGUAGGAACGCGUCACACCGCCACUAUUACCGCACAUCAUGUGCGGUUUUGUGUCGAUAUCUUUUUUAAUGGUGACGAUGAGCAUGGGCUGAGUAUCACCGCCGUCACAGAAGAACGCUCGGAUUACAAACCUUUCUGCUGGAUUCCUAGAAAUAACUUCGAAAGGAAUGAAGUACAGAUUUAUCCUGGAGGUCACGUGAUGUAAGACGAGUAGUUCAUUAAUUGAAUGGCCAUUUCAGGUGUGCAUUCUAAAUAAGGAGGGUAUGAAUCAGUUGCGCUUUCCUGAGGCCUCACCUUAUGUAUAAUCAACAGUUUUUCUACAACAUUAUAUACGAAGAAAACACAAAGACAAGACUAUUCUCUAGAUUGUUACGCUCUAUAAGUAAUGUUUAUAUAUACAAUGUUAUAAUUGACUGAUAUAUGUUUCUUUGUAGAUACAUGCACACGCUCACCCAUGGCAGGUUUUAUUAUCUGGGAAGAUGUAUAAUACUCUAUGUAGUUGUUAA